CACGCCGUAAACGAUGGAUGCUAGCUGUUAGGAGUAUCGACCCUUCUAGUAGCGAAGCUAACGCGUUAAGCAUCCCGCCUGGGGAGUACGAACGCAAGUUUAAAACUCAAAGGAAUUGACGGGGACCCGCACAAGUGGUGGAGCGUGUUCUUUAAUUCGAAGCUAAGCGAAGAACCUUACCAGGGCUUGACAUAUUGACUAAUCACUGCGAAAGCAGAGAGUGCCUUCGGGCCGUCAUUACAGGUGU
rnacentral:rRNA from 1 species